AGGGAACUUGGACAUGUGUCAUUCAGCCC
rnacentral:piRNA from 1 species